rnacentral:rRNA from 1 species
CAGUACCGAAGUUCCCGUCCCUACACUGCCAAGAAAAGCCUCUAGCGAGGGAAGUGGUGCCCGUACCGCAAACCGACACAGGUAGGUGGGAUGAGAAUUCUAAGACGCUCGGGAGAACUCUCGUUAAGGAACUCGGCAAAAUGACCCCGUAACUUCGGGAGAAGGGGUGCUCUCUAGGGUUCAUAGCCCCGGAGAGCCGCAGUGAAAAGGCCCAAGCGACUGUUUAUCAAAAACACAGGUCUCUGCGAAGCCGCAAGGCGAAGUAUAGGGGCUGACACCUGCCCGGUGCUGGAAGGUUAAGAGGAGAGGUUAUCCC